CUCCUCUUCUCUCUCCUGUCCAAUUUUCAGCUGAUUAGCCAUGAAGUUCAUCGUCUUAGCCAUUUUGGUCGUAAUUGCUGUGGGGGUGACGAAAUCUGAAUUUUCCGCCGAAUUUUCCGGGGAAGCCUCUGUAGCCUUGGACCAUGGUGCUAAGCAAGUACGGGAAAAAAGAGCCCCCCAUCGAUUUUCCCCCUAUGAAGGAAGAUACAGUGGAGGAUACGUUGGGCGUGGCUGGUACGAUAUCGACUACGCUAGGAUGGGAUGAUGACGUCAAUAGCUCCUCUCUCAACAGAAUUAAUUAAAAUUGAUCAAUUUCAAGAGAUACGCAUUAUGCAUGAACAAGAAGAUAAUUAGGCAAAUCAAUCAGCAUGGUCAUCAUUCUAAUAAAAUAUAUUUUGUUCA